GCACCGGUUUUGACACUUCUCCGAGCUGUGGGACCCCUUUCCUACUCUCUUCUUAGUAGGCUGUGAAGACUUGACCAGAGACCGCUCAUAGUCCGAAAGUGCUAGCUUUUUCUGAGCUUCGCGUUGCUUCUUUUGAUGGUCCGCCACCUUGUGCCUCAGUUCCGAUGGCUUCACAUAAAAAUAUGGCUUUUCUGGGUUA
rnacentral:lncRNA from 1 species